CCGAAAGGCGUAGUCGAUGGGAAACAGGUUAAUAUUCCUGUACUUGGUGUUACUGCGAAGGGGGGACGGAGAAGGCUAUGUUAGCCGGGCGACGGUUGUCCCGGUUUAAGCAUGUAGGCUGGUUAUCCAGGCAAAUCCGGAUAAUCAAGGCUGAGGUGUGAUGACGAAGCACUACGGUGCUGAAGUAACAAAUGCCCUGCUUCCAGGAAAAGCCUCUAAGCAUCAGGUAACAUCAAAUCGUACCCCAAACCGACACAGGUGGUCAGGUAGAGAAUACCAAGGCGCUUGAGAG
rnacentral:rRNA from 1 species